rnacentral:misc_RNA from 1 species
GGAAGGAUCAUUAUUGAAUAAACUUGAACGAGUUGUUGCUGGCUCCUAUAUGGGCAUGUGCACACUUGUCAUUUUUACCCCUCCACCUGUGCACAUAUUGUAGAUCGAUUGAGGAUUGCUGUGCUUUUUAUUCAAAAAGAGUCAGCUUUGUCUUGUAUCUUUAGAUCUAUUUAUUUAUUUUUCACAAUCUCUAAAAGUGUAUAGAAUGUUGAAUUUGGGAAAUAUACAACUUUCAGCAAC